rnacentral:rRNA from 1 species
GGGAAGCUUACAUGGCAGUCGAGGGGCAUCGGGAGGGAAGCUUGCUUUCCUUGCCGGCGACCGGCGCACGGGUGAGUAACACGUAUGCAACCUGCCCUCUUCAGGGGGACAACCUUCCGAAAGGGAGGCUAAUCCCGCGUAUAUCGGUUUCGGGCAUCCGUUAUCGAGGAAAGAUUCAUCGGAAGAGGAUGGGCAUGCGGCGCAUUAGCUAGACGGCGGGGUAACGGCCCACCGUGGCGACGAUGCGUAGGGGUUCUGAGAGGAAGGUCCCCCACACUGGUACUGAGACACGGACCAGACUCCUACGGGAGGCAGCAGUGAGGAAUAUUGGUCAAUGGGAGAGAUCCUGAACCAGCCAAGCCGCGUGAGGGAAGACGGCCCUAUGGGUUGUAAACCUCUUUUGUCGGAGAACAAAACCCGGGACGAGUCCCGGACUGCGUGUAUCCGAAGAAAAAGCAUCGGCUAACUCCGUGCCAGCAGCCGCGGUAAUACGGAGGAUGCGAGCGUUAUCCGGAUUUAUUGGGUUUAAAGGGUGCGUAGGCGGUCCGUUAAGUCAGCGGUAAAAUUGCGGGGCUCAACCCCGUCGAGCCGUUGAAACUGGCAGACUUGAGUUGGCGAGAAGUACGCGGAAUGCGCGGUGUAGCGGUGAAAUGCAUAGAUAUCGCGCAGAACUCCGAUUGCGAAGGCAGCGUACCGGCGCCAGACUGACGCUGAGGCACGAAAGCGUGGGGAUCGAACAGGAUUAGAUAC